rnacentral:rRNA from 1 species
UACGGGGGGGGGUAAGCGUUGUUUCGGAAUUACUGGGCGUAAAAGGGCUCGUAGGCGGCCAUGUAAGUCUGGUGUUUAAGCCCGGGGCUCAACCCCGGAUCGCACGGGAAACUGGAUGACUUGAGUGCAGAAGAGGAGAGUGGAAUUCCACGUGUAGCGGUGAAAUGCGUAGAGAUGUGGAGGAACACCAGUGGCGAAGGCGGUUCUCUGGGCAUGUCCUGACGCUGAGGAGCGAAAGUGUGGGGAGCGAACAGG